AGCGCAAAUGAUGAACAACAAAGGGACUUAAUGCUGAAACCUGAUGUUACGUUGUGAUGCUGAUAUGUGC
ensembl:snoRNA SNORD82 Small nucleolar RNA SNORD82